rnacentral:rRNA from 1 species
UACAGAGGUCUCGAGCGUUAGGCGGAAUCACUGGGCUUAAAGCGUGUGUAGGCGGGUCGUUAAGUACCUUGUGAAAUCCCAUGGCUCAACCAUGGAACUGCUGGGUAUACUGGCGAUCUUGUGCAACCUAGGGGCGAGCGGAACAGAAUGGUGGAGCGGGUGAAAAUGCGUAGAUAUCAUCUGGAACGCCAAUGGUGAAAAACAGCUCGCUGGGGGGUUUGCAGACGCUGAGACACGAAAAGCCAGGGGGAGCGGAACGGGGGAUUAAGAAAACCCC